rnacentral:rRNA from 1 species
UUUGAUUAAUUAAAGAUGUAUUAAAUUUGAAGGUUUAUUAAGAAGAAUAAGAUAAUUAAAAUGAAUUAUAUGAAGAGUAAUGUAAAUGAAUUUAGGUAAAAUAUAAAGAAGUAAUUUUAAUUUAAUGUACCUUUUGUAUCAGGGUUUAUUAAAAUAUAAGUUAAAAAUUUUAAUUUUCUCGAAAUUAAAAGAGCUAAUAAUAGUUAAUAAAAUAGGUUAUGUUAGUUAAUGUAAAAUAAUUAUUAAUAAUAAGUUAUUAGAGGAUAUAUUCUAGUCAAUUUUAAUGAUAUCUAGUUUUUUUUUAUUUAAAUUUAAUUUAAUCUUAAAGAUAAGUAAUAAUUUUUUUUAUUAAAAGUUAUUAUUAUUUAAGAAAAUAAGUUAUGGGAUAAACUAUAAUUUAAUUUAAAAUAAUAUAAGAGGAAUUAUGAAAUUAAGAGUAAAAAAUAGUACUGAUAAAAUUUUAGUUUUAUAAAAAAAAUUUAAUAAUUUAUUUAAAUUUAAAUAUAAAGUUAAUAAAAUAAUAAAAAGUAUUUAUUAAUUGAAAUUAAGAAAAUAACAUUUAAUGAUUUAAAUAGUAAGAUUUAAUUAAAUAAAAAAAUAUUAUCUUAAAUAAUUAAAGAUAAAAAAUAAUGAUAAAAUAAGUAAAAAUUAGUUAAAAUAUAUAAUAAAAAAUAAGUGAGAUAUUAAUUUUAGGAAUUCGGCAAAAAUUUAGGUUCAACUGUUUAAUAAAAACAUAGUUUUUUGAUUAUAAUAAAAAAUGUUUUUACUGCUCAAUGAUUAAAAAUUAAAUAGCUGCAGUAUAUUGACUGUACAAAGGUAGCAUAAUAGAUUGUUUAUUAAUUGUAAACUGGAAUGAAUGUAGGAAUGAAACUUAAACUGUCUUAAGUUAAAAAAUUGAAUUUAGUAAUUAAAUAAAAAUAUUUAAAUGGGAUUAUGGGACGAGAAGACCCUAUAGAAUUUUAUAUAUAAAUUUAUAAAAAUUAUAAAUUUAAAAGUAAAAUAAAAUUAUAUAUUUAGUUGGGAGGAUUGUUAAAUUAAAUAAACUUUAAUUAGGAAAAAAGAUAUAGAUGAGUAGAAAAUUAGGAUUUGAUGGAUUUAAUUAAAAUUAGAAAAGAAAUAAUUACCUUAGGGAUAACAGCGUAAUAUUUUUAGAAAGAUCAUAUUGAUAAAAAUGAUUGCGACCUCGAUGUUGAAUUAAGAUAAAAAUUAGAUGUAGAAGUUUAAUAUUUAAGUCUGUUCGACUUUUGAAAUCUUACAUGAUUUGAGUUUAGAUCGGCGUGAGCUAGAUUGGUUUCUAUCUAUAAUAAGAAAAUAAAUAUUUGUACGAAAGGACUAUAUUUAUGAAUUUGAUUUUUAUAAAAUAAUUAUUUAAUUUUUAUUAUUUAAAAAUUAUUUAGCUAGAAAUGGUAAUAAUUUUAAAAAUUAAGU